UUUCCACUUGUGCUCUCCGCUUAGCUCCUUCCAUCUCCUCGCUAUGUCUCCCCUCAUUUCCACUGCCUUUCCUUCUUCUUGGACAAGACCCGAGGUUUGGAGAGAGAUUUUUACAUGAAGACAAGAGGAGGUCUUGUCCGGAUGGAAGACAGCAC